rnacentral:rRNA from 1 species
UACGGGAGGCAGCAGUGGGGAAUAUUGCACAAUGGGCGGAAGCCUGAUGCAGCAACGCCGCGUGCGGGAUGACGGCCUUCGGGUUGUAAACCGCUUUCGCCUGUGACGAAGCGUGAGUGACGGUAAUGGGUAAAGAAGCACCGGCUAACUACGUGCCAGCAGCCGCGGUGAUACGUAGGGUGCGAGCGUUGUCCGGAUUUAUUGGGCGUAAAGGGCUCGUAGGUGGUUGAUCGCGUCGGAAGUGUAAUCUUGGGGCUUAACCCUGAGCGUGCUUUCGAUACGGGUUGACUUGAGGAAGGUAGGGGAGAAUGGAAUUCCUGGUGGAGCGGUGGAAUGCGCAGAUAUCAGGAGGAACACCAGUGGCGAAGGCGGUUCUCUGGGCCUUUCCUGACGCUGAGGAGCGAAAGCGUGGGGAGCGAACAGGCUUAGAUACCCUGGUAGUCCACGCUGUAAACGGUGGGUACUAGGUGUGGGGUCCAUUCCACGGGUUCCGCGCCGUAGCUAACGCUUUAAGUACCCCGCCUGGGGAGUACGGCCGCAAGGCUAAAACUCAAAGGAAUUG